UACAGAGGGUGCAAGCGUUGUUCGGAAUUACUGGGCGUAAAGCGCGUGUAGGCGGCUUGAUAAGUUAGAUGUGAAAUCCCUAGGCUCAACCAAGGAACUGCAUCUAAUACUGUCAGGCUAGAGUAUCGGAGGGGAUGGUGGAAUUCCCGGUGUAGAGGUGAAAUUCGUAGAUAUCGGGAGGAACACCUGUGGCGAAGGCGACCAUCUGGAAGAUUACUGACGCUGAGACGCGAAAGCGUGGGGAGCAAACAGG
rnacentral:rRNA from 1 species